CUGACAAGUUAGCCACCCCACCUCUACAAAUUUCUGCCUAACUCCAACUAAAACAUUCGCCCUUGUAUAAGUAUAGGAGAUAGAACACCACCCCCUGCGCAACAGCCAAUAGUACUAUAUAGGAAUACUGAAAGAACACUGAAAACUCAAAGCACAAAAUAGCAGGGCCUAACCCCCGUACCUCUUGCAUCAUGGUCUAACCAGUCCAAUCCAGGUAAAGUGCACUAAAACCUGCCCACCCGAACCCAGACGAUCUACCCUAGAGCAAUCACUAUGGAUGCACCCUUCCCUGUGGCAAAANGNUGGGAAGACUUNAGGGUAGCGGUGAAACGCCAAUCGAGCCUGGCGAUAGCUGGUUGCUCAUCAAAUGAAUCCAAGUUCAACUCUAGUUUAACCUACCCGCACCCUUACGCCAAUGUCCCAACUAGAAGCUAUACAAGCAGGGACCAGCCUGCUUGUAAACGGAAACAGCCCCCCUNGCGGAUUAGAGAUACCCAAUUAUCUCGUAGGCCCCUAAGCAGCCACCAAUAAAAACCGCGUCAAAGCGCAAACCACAAAAAUACCCCAAAACUACACAAUCCCCAGUCAAUGACUGAGCCACCCUAGAACCCAAACUAGGGGGCCUACUAUUAGAACUAGUAACUAGAACCACUUCUCCACGGCACGUCUUUACGCCGGAAGGACCCCCACCGGCAAUUACCAGACACAACCACCUCACCAACCCUGUUACCCCGACACAGGCGUGCCUUAAAGUACCGGCAAAAUGUCCUAGAAGGAACUCGGCUAACUCGCCCCACCUGUUUACCAAAAACAUGGCCUUUAGCACAACAAGUAUUAAAGGUCCCGCCUGCCCGGUGAUCUACUUUAACGGCCGCGGUACUCUAACCGUGCAAAGGUAGCGUAAUCACUUGCCCCCUAAAUAGGGGCCUGUAUGAAUGGCUAGAUGAGGGCUUAACUGUCUCCUAGGACACCCCAAUGAACCUGCUCUUCCAGUACAAAAGCUGGGAUAACCCCAUAAGACGAGAAGACCCUGUGGAGCUUUUAAAUACACUACCAACCCACCCCAGCCCAUGGUAGCAACUUUAAGUUGGGGCGACUACGGAGAAAUGCAGAACCUCCAUGAAACAAACUAAACCCAGCCCAAGGCCUACACACCAAGGACACCCAACCCUUCGACCCAGCACACCUGAGCACCGGACCAAGUUACCCCAGGGAUAACAGCGCCAUCCCCCUUAAGAGUCCCUAUCGCCAGGGGGGUUUACGACCUCGAUGUUGGAUCAGGACACCCCGGUGGUGUAGCCGCUACCAAAGGUUCGUUUGUUCAACGACUAAUGUCCUA
rnacentral:rRNA from 1 species